rnacentral:rRNA from 1 species
AACGAACGCUGGCGGCAUGCCUAACACAUGCAAGUCGAACGAGACCUUCGGGUCUAGUGGCGCACGGGUGCGUAACGCGUGGGAAUCUGCCCUUGGUUCGGAAUAACAGUUAGAAAUGACUGCUAAUACCGGAUAAUGUCUUCGGACCAAAGAUUUAUCGCCCAGGGAUGAGCCCGCGUAGGAUUAGCUAGUUGGUGAGGUAAAGGCUCACCAAGGCGACGAUCCUUAGCUGGUCUGAGAGGAUGAUCAGCCACACUGGGACUGAGACACGGCCCAGACUCCUACGGGAGGCAGCAGUGGGGAAUAUUGGACAAUGGGCGAAAGCCUGAUCCAGCAAUGCCGCGUGAGUGAUGAAGGCCUUAGGGUUGUAAAGCUCUUUUACCCGGGAUGAUAAUGACAGUACCGGAGAAUAAGCCCGGCUAACUCCGUGCCAGCAGCCGCGGUAAU